CCCUUAGAUGUUCUGGGCCGCACACGCGCUACACUGAAGGAGGCAGCGUGUACUCCUGGAUCGAAAGAUUUGGGUAACCCGCGAAUCUCCUUCGUGCUAGGGAUUGAGGUUUGCAAUUAUCCUUCAUGAACGAGGAAUUCUCAGUAAGUGCAAGUCAUAAGCUUGCGCUGACUACGUCCCUGCCCUUUGUACACACCGCCCGUCGCUACUACCGAUUGAAUGAUUUAGUGAGGACUUCGGACUGGGACCGAUGCGGCUUUCGGGCUGCGUCGGUAUUCUGGAAAGAUGUCCAAACUGUAUCAUUUAGAGGAAGUAAAAGUCGUAACA
rnacentral:rRNA from 1 species